UGGUGGAGUGAUUUGUCUGGUUAAUUCCGAUAACGAACGAGACCUUAACCUGCUAACUAGUCACGGGAAGCCUUGUGCUUGCCGGCCGACUUCUUAGAGGGACAGUCUGUAUCCAGCAGAUGGAGGUGUGAGGCGAUAACA
rnacentral:rRNA from 1 species